UUCUCUUUUAGCAAGUGCUGUUUACAACUUCAGAAGAGCUAAACACUAUUUAAUUGAUGUACGGAAAUGAGAUUUAUAAACUAUAAAUAAAACAAUUUGUUACAUGCAAAAGGGAGAAAUAUGGCAAAAAUUAUUAAGUUCGUUUGUGUUAUGAUUAUCAUAUUUUCUCUAUUUCUUGCUGCAACGAACGCUGAAAGAGGACAAUUUAUAUACUGUAAGGAUGACUCUGAAUGUCAAAACAGGGAGUGCCUCUUGCCAUGGACACAGCGUAAGUGUCUAAGGUUCGGAAUAUGUGUAUGUGCUAUGGUGUACCCGGAAACUUAAGUGCAUGUGAUUCUUUUUUAUUGUCAAAGCCAAAAGAAGAAUACAUAAAUAAAUGUCAUGUUAGAAUAUUCUAUGAGCUGUCAUUUAUAUAUUGAAUUUGCAUGGAAUAAUUUGUCUUUUUUUUUUUUUUUUUUUUUUUUAUUUCAAGAACUUUGUGAUUAUGGUUUUGUAAUCUAAGAUGAUUUUAAUGAAAUGAAAUAAGACAGCAAAUAAUAUUAUUAUUAA